rnacentral:lncRNA from 1 species
CCUAUACUCAGGCCCGCUCCCACACCGUGGAGUGUACUUUCAACACAUCUCUCUGUUUGUUGCUUCAUUCUUUCCUUGCUUUGUGUGUUUUGUCCAAUUCUUGGGAACCUGGACACCCUCCACCAGUAACACUGUGGCCCUUGGGGAACGAGUCAUUAAAAUUUUAACGACAAGUGCAGCUCUUCGAAGGAUAUUCCAGUCAAAGGAAGAGCAUCAAAGAAGAGGUUUUUUGCUUGGGUUACUGGCAAUCAAAGAAUGUGUCACUAACACCUGGACGGGGUUUUGAAGUACUAGCAGGAGUUCCUCAGGUUCACAGAGGAGUGCUAUGAGGGAGGACAGCCAAGUGGAAAAUGGAAGCAACGCUGACAUUCUCCUUCCACCUGAGAGCAAGCCUGACACCAAGAAAGCUGUGGGAAUAGGAGGGAUGGGCCCGGACACCGCCAUCUCCAAACUGCUCAAGAUGUGUCAUCUGCAUAGAUAAACUGGCACACCUGUGGAUGGGACAUCCUUUAAGUAGAUGUUAAACAAGAUCCAAGAUUGGCGUAAUGAGCCUUCAGUGGACUGUCAUGAUUAACUGCGCAUGCUGGCUGGCACACCAGAGAAAGCUGAUGAGUUGGAGGUAAAGUGAGACAAAUAUGGAAAGACAUUCCAGUUGUUUGGGGGAUUUUUGUCACUUCCUCCAGAUGGAUGAUUUUGGGUUUUUGUCCCUGGGUCUUGAUAGAUGUUCUCCACUUAACUUCCCUGAGGUUUCUGGCAGGAUGGAGGGAGGUGAUCUGCAGUCUGUUUCCCUAUUAAAAACCAUUUCCCCGGACUUGAAAAGUUGCCAACUCAGUCGUCUCUGAUUUACUGAUUUCUAACAAGUGUG